AGUGAACGCUGGCGGUAGGCCUAACACAUGCCAGUCGAACGGCAGCACAGUAAGAGCUUGCUCUUACGGGUGGCGAGUGGCGGACGGGUGAGGAAUACAUCGGAAUCUAAUUUUUCGUGGGGGAUAACGUAGGGAAAGUUACGCUAAUACAGCAUAUGACCUACGGGUGAAAGCAGUGGAUCUUCGGACCUUUCGCGAUUGAAUGAGCCGAUGUCGGAUUGGCUAGUUGGCGGGGUAAAGGCCCACCAAGGCGACGAUACGUAGCUGGACUGAGAGGAUGAUCGGCCACACUGGAACUGAGACACGGUCCAGACUCCUACGGGAGGCAGCAGUGGGGAAUAUUGGGCAAUGGGCGCAAGCCUGACCCAGCCAUACCGCGUGGGUGAAGAAGGCCUUCGGGUUGUAAAGCCCUUUUGUUGGGAAAGAAAAGCUGUAGGUUAAUACCCCGCUGUUCUGACGGUACCCAAAGAAUAAGCACCGGCUAACUACGUG
rnacentral:rRNA from 1 species